GACGAACGCUGGCGGCGUGCUUAACACAUGCAAGUCGAACGGAAAGGCCCUGCUUUUGUGGGGUGCUCGAGUGGCGAACGGGUGAGUAACACGUGAGUAACCUGCCCUUGACUUUGGGAUAACUUCAGGAAACUGGGGCUAAUACCGGAUAGGAGCUCCUGCUGCAUGGUGGGGGUUGGAAAGUUUCGGCGGUUGGGGAUGGACUCGCGGCUUAUCAGCUUGUUGGUGGGGUAGUGGCUUACCAAGGCUUUGACGGGUAGCCGGCCUGAGAGGGUGACCGGCCACAUUGGGACUGAGAUACGGCCCAGACUCCUACGGGAGGCAGCAGUGGGGAAUAUUGCACAAUGGGCGGAAGCCUGAUGCAGCAACGCCGCGUGCGGGAUGACGGCCUUCGGGUUGUAAACCGCUUUCGCCUGUGACGAAGCGUGAGUGACGGUAAUGGGUAAAGAAGCACCGGCUAACUACGUGCCAGCAGCCGCGGUGAUACGUAGGGUGCGAGCGUUGUCCGGAUUUAUUAGGCGUAAAGGGCUCGUAGGUGGUUGAUCGCGUCGGAAGUGUAAUCUUGGGGCUUAACCCUGAGCGUGCUUUCGAUACGGGUUGACUUGAGGAAGGUAGGGGAGAAUGGAAUUCCUGGUGGAGCGGUGGAAUGCGCAGAUAUCAGGAGGAACACCAGUGGCGAAGGCGGUUCUCUGGGCCUUUCCUGACGCUGAGGAGCGAAAGCGUGGGGAGCGAACAGGCUUAGAUACCCUGGUAGUCCACGCUGUAAACGGUGGGUACUAGGUGUGGGGUCCAUUCCACGGGUUCCGUGCCGUAGCUAACGCUUUAAGUACCCCGCCUGGGGAGUACGGCCGCAAGGCUAAAACUCAAAGGAAUUGACGGGGCCCCGCACAAGCGGCGGAGCAUGCGGAUUAAUUCGAUGCAACGCGUAGAACCUUACCUGGGUUUGACAUGGAUCGGGAGUGCUCAGAGAUGGGUGUGCCUCUUUUGGGGUCGGUUCACAGGUGGUGCAUGGCUGUCGUCAGCUCGUGUCGUGAGAUGUUGGGUUAAGUCCCGCAACGAGCGCAACCCUUGUUCACUGUUGCCAGCACGUUAUGGUGGGGACUCAGUGGAGACCGCCGGGGUCAACUCGGAGGAAGGUGGGGAUGACGUCAAGUCAUCAUGCCCCUUAUGUCCAGGGCUUCACGCAUGCUACAAUGGCUGGUACAGAGAGUGGCGAGCCUGUGAGGGUGUGCGAAUCUCGGAAAGCCGGUCUCAGUUCGGAUUGGGGUCUGCAACUCGACCUCAUGAAGUCGGAGUCGCUAGUAAUCGCAGAUCAGCAACGCUGCGGUGAAUACGUUCCCGGGGCU
rnacentral:rRNA from 1 species